ensembl:lncRNA
GUAUAACCUGGGUAACCAGUGUAACCAGUAUAACCAGUAUAACCUGUGUAACCAGUAUAACCAGUAUAACCAGUAUAACCUGUGUAACCAGUAUAACCAGUAUAACCUGUGUAACCAGUAUAACCAGUAUAACCUGGGUAACCAGUAUAACCAGUAUAACCUGUGUAACCAGUAUAACCCAGGACCUCCACAGGAUCGUCUGAGUCCAGACACCCCGGACGGACAGCUGAUGAAACUGGGUUUUGCACAACCGAAGAAUUUCUCCACAAACUAUCAGAAACCGUCUCAGGGAAGCUGUGUGUUUGUCGUCCUCACCGGGGGUUUUGACCUGAUUGCAGUUCGGUGUCGUACUUCGAUGGCCACUGGCCUGCUGGAGAAGUGUGCUCUUCACAGAUGAAUCCCAGUUUCAACUGUACCCGAGCAGAUGGCAGACAGCGAUGUGUGUGGCGUCGUGUGGGCGGUUUGCUGGUGUCACCCUGGGGUGGCGGAGGGGUUAUGAUAUGAACAGGUAUAAGCUACGGACAACGAACACAGUUGCGUUUUAUCGAUGGCAGUUUGAAUGCAGAGAGACAACAUGAUGAGUUCCUGAGGCCCGUUGUCGUGCCAUAAAUCUGCCUCAUGUUUCAGCGUGAUAAUGCAGAGCACCAUGUCGAAGGGAUAUGUACUCUAAAAGUUGUUGAAGGUACACAACGCAGUGACCUGAAGGACUUCUCUCCCUGGCCAGGUACACAACACAGUGACCUGAAGGACUAUACCAGCUGGCUGUGACACAACACAGUGACCUGAAUGACUAUACCAGCUGGCUGUGACACAACACAGUGACCUGAAGGACUAUACCAGCUGGCUGUGACACUAGCAAAACAAACAUUCAUCACACAACGUCAGUCGAGCAGUGGAGACACGAGAGUCAGCCAGUCAUGACACGCACAUCACAAAUCUUCCUUGUGCCGCACACAAUUAGUAAUUACAAGGAUUGAUUGAAAUGACCGCACAGGGUUACAAUUUAUUUGAAAGAAUGCAAUUAAUUUGAAAGGUUGAGGUGAGUACUCUGG